AAUUUUCUGACCAUUUAUAUAGAUGGCAGUAGGAUUUAGAGAAUCACAAGAAUUUUGGAGGGAGCAAGCGAAGUUCGAAGCUCGAGUUCAUCAUGAGUUGCGGAAUCAACAAGGGAAAGGCCCCUACAAUAUCUUCAUAAUAGAUACAUCUUCUUUUAUCGAGAAGGAAGGUUUUGCGCAGCUGAAGGAAGCGUUUACUGCUAUAAUUGAUGAGUACUCUCAACAUCCAGAUAUUGAUGAGAAUGUGGCAGUAAUUGUAUGUGGACGUCAAACAAAGUUUCUACGCUACUAUUCCAACCAAUACGAAGAUAUUAAACAUUGUCUAGGUAUUUUUUUUAAACCUGAUAGCAUUAGGGGUAUAAACGAACAAUAUAUAAAUAAGAAGGUAAGCACUAUUUUCUUUACUUUAGCAUUUAUGUUAACUCUGUUUCUUUUGUGAUUCUGUAAAAUUAAAACAGUAAAUUUAUAACAUUUCUACAUGUAACAUUUUCAUUAUUUUCAGUUUACAGCAAAGUUUGUCUUCGAUUUCAGACAAUGUUGAGAUUGGAGGACCAUGUCCUUUAACGGCAGCAUUUAUACUAUCUCAAGGUGGACUUGGAAAUGGCACAAAUCUAGAAUGUGAAUUGGGGGAUUUUUACGUUCGCCCAAGAAUAAUUCUCAUUUCGGUCGGCAGACCAACUGAUUUUUCAAUCAUAGAUGCUGAUUUGUGUCCUCAAAUGGAAACCGACGAAGUAUCGACACUAUCAGUUGAUUUUAAUAUAAUACUGAUAAUUAAUGUUCAUUUUAAGAUAAAUACUAUAUCU
rnacentral:misc_RNA from 1 species